rnacentral:rRNA from 1 species
UACAGGGGGGGCAAGCGUUGUUCGGAAUUACUGGGCGUAAAGGGUUUGUAGGUGGCCACUUAAGUCAGACGUGAAAUCCCUCAGCUUAACUGGGGAACUGCGUCUGAUACUGAGUGGCUUGAGUGCAGGAGAGGAACGCGGAAUUCCAGGUGUAGCGGUGAAAUGCGUAGAUAUCAGGAGGAACACCGAUGGCGAAGGCAGGUCUCUGGGCCACUACUGACGCUGAGAAGCGAAAGCAUGGGGAGCGAACAGG